GGGGAAUAUUGCACAAUGGGCGCAAGCCUGAUGCAGCCAUGCCGCGUGUAUGAAGAAGGCCUUCGGGUUGUAAAGUACUUUCAGCGAGGAGGAAGGUGUUGAGGUUAAUAACCUUGUCGAUUGACGUUACCCGCAGAAGAAGCACCGGCUAACUCCGUGCCAGCAGCCGCGGUAAUACGGAGGGUGCAAGCGUUAAUCGGAAUUACUGGGCGUAAAGCGCACGCAGGCGGUCUGUCAAGUCGGAUGUGAAAUCCCCGGGCUCAACCUGGGAACUGCAUUCGAAACUGGCAGGCUAGAGUCUUGUAGAGGGGGGUAGAAUUCCAGGUGUAGCAGUGAAAUGCGUAGAGAUCUGGAGGAAUACCGGUGGCGAAGGCGGCCCCCUGGACAAAGACUGACGCUCAGGUGCGAAAGCGUGGGGAGCGAAC
rnacentral:rRNA from 1 species